ACUGGAUUUGCCAAACAGUUCAUUUGGAUUUCUGUAGUAACUUAGAGAAAAACCCAAAUGAACUUUUUUGCCAAUCCAGU
rnacentral:miRNA from 1 species